CGAGGCUCACAUGCCUACGCACAUCAGCUACGGCUGAACUCGCAUCAAACUGCCUUGCAUAUUCUGAGGGGUCCGCUCCACUGAAGUCACAGCGCCUCAGCCGCCUUGCGACCUGCCACACCUGCCCGUCCCGCCAAUUGGGGAAGAAGGCUGGCGGGGUGGCGGGGUGGCGGGGGCUCUGAACCUGAACUCGCCGUCAUGAGCCUCAAGCUGAGAAAUGGCACCUACACGAGGACAGCAAAACAGCAGGAGCUGAGCCAGUGGAUUCUCUUAUUAAAUGCAAUCAAGUCAACAUCCUAAAUCUGCAGCCACUUAUCUCCCUCUCCAUGACACACAAUCUCCAUCAGCUGGCUCACACCAGAUUUGUCUUUCUCUGUAAAAAUGUUACACGAUGUUUCAAUAAUCCAUACAGUAGGUGGUAUCUGCAAGCAGGCCUCUCCUUUAGAGAAAGAGCUUGACUAUGGACCUCCCCCCCCCACCCCCAAACGUGCCCCUCAGACCCCUCCCUGUAUAACUCAUCAGUCUUUUCUGCUCGUAGGCCGUCACUUGUGACCAGGGCAUUCUCUCAGCUGACCAUGUCCUCCUCGGGGUCAGAGGUAAUUUGUUCUGGUGUGGGAGUGUGUCACAGCCUAGAGGUCAACGGGGGUCAGGCCAAACAGCACAGCGGUCAGCAGGAGGUUAUUAAACACUGAGCGACUGACUGCACUUUAACUCCCUCUGCCCCACUGAGAUCUUAAGAGAUACACCAAACUCAAAGCAGAUGAGGGGUCGCGGGUUUGAGUACUGUCAAGCAUGGUGUCCGGAUGUUCAAUGAAAAUUAAAAGACUAAAAACCUU